rnacentral:lncRNA from 1 species
AAGGGUCUCCGUGGUGGCCCCGGGCGGGCGGAGGAGCGCGGUUCGCCGGCAGCAGGCGGGGACGCCGCACGGGAACGCUCUCUCCCGGUGCGGAUUUCAUACUCUUGUUUAUUUUGCUUUCUUCCCAACGGGCUCACACAGCCCUCCCAGGAACCCAGACAAACGGGGUGACCCCCCCCACCCUCCAAUUACACACAAAGUCAGGACAGCGCUUCUCCUGAGCCUCCCCCCUGCCCCGUCUCUCCCCACGGGGGUCCCCUGGUGACCCCGAAUCCCACCCAGGGCAGCUCAGCAGCAGUUCUUCCCUCCGGGGAUGCGCCCGCCCGGAUGGUCUGAACUCUGCUGACACGGAUAAAGGAAGGGGGUGUCUCUGGGAGCCCCCUCCCAGCCUGUCAGAGGGUCUGGACACCGAGACACCCUCUACCGUGCACACACACACACACACACGGGCGCUCAGUACCGGUCACAGCCGGCUCCCCGGUCCCACCGGAGAGGCUUUGCUUCCCACUGCCGGGGAGGACCCGCUCGGCCCCGAUGACACUGCAGCACUGAGCAGUCCCCCGGUCCCAACCCGUUCCCGGGGGGUUCCGGUGGGCGGCGAUCCCGCAGGCCCCCACGGAACGGGGGCCACAACCCAGCACGGCAUCCCUCGGCUCCCUCCCGGUGGGCCCGGCCCCGGUAAGGGGAGAGCAGCGGUGAGCGUGUUCCAUCCCACCCGCGGCCGAGCCCCCCACGCCAGGAAACGGCCACGGGCGAGACGCCGCCGUGUCCCGCCGCCCGCGGGGGGAAAAGCACCGAGCCAGGAGGCCGCCCGCGGCGGGAGCAGGUCGGGGAGGACGCUCACCGGGGAACCCGCGGGGCCACCGCCCCUACCGGGAGCGGGGACCCGCCGCGGGCCAGGCCGCGGCCGCGCCGGACUCGGCGGGGGCUGAGCGUCCGGGGUCACACCGAGGCCCCGGGGCAGCCGGUCCGCUGGGCGGGAGGCGGCCGCGGUGCCCCGGGAAACGGCGGGCGGGGCCGGGGCCGGGCCGG